AUACACAGCCAUAGCACCCUGAAAACACCUGAUCUCAUCAGACCUGGGAAGCUAAGCAGGGUCGGGCUCGGUCAGUACUUGGAUGGGAGACCAGCUGGGAUCAGCAGGUGCUGUGAGCU
rnacentral:rRNA from 1 species